UACGGGGGGGGCAAGCGUUGUUCGGAAUUACUGGGCGUAAAGGGUUCGUAGGUGGCCAACUAAGUCAGACGUGAAAUCCCUCAGCUUAACUGGGGAACUGCGUCUGAUACUGGUUGGCUUGAGUGCAGGAGAGGAACGCGGAAUUCCAGGUGUAGCGGUGAAAUGCGUAGAUAUCGUAAGGAAGACCAGUGGCGAAGGCGGGUCUCUGGACAGUUCCUGACGCUGAGGCACGAAGGCCAGGGGAGCAAACGGG
rnacentral:rRNA from 1 species